UUGAAAGCCACAAAGUCCCAAUGAUCCCAAUAGCUUAUUGUUCAAUAUUAGUUGAGUAAAAUAAUUUGGUGAGUAUUUGGAGUCAAAUAUAUGCAUGUAAGUAUAAAUUCUUUCUAUCUUUAACUUGCAAAUAUUGGAUACUUGAAGCAAUUGUAUGAUUUGUGGUUUUUGGUAAUAGUGAGUGACUAAGUGCCGUUGAAUGUUAAGCUUGCGAAUACCUAUGAAUUGUCAUCAUAAUUGCAAAUUCUGAAAACGCUAAGUUGACCCAUCGAUCUAUGUAAUGAGAUGCAUGGUUUUGGUUUGUGUUCUUGAUUUGAUUUUACUUGAGGACAAGCAAAAGUUCAAGUUUGGGGGUGUGUUAAGUGUAUAUUUAUACACUU
rnacentral:lncRNA from 1 species